AUUGAACGCUGGCGGCAGGCUUAACACAUGCAAGUCGAGCGAGCGGCGGACGGGUGAGUAAUGUCUGGGAAACUGCCUGAUGGCGGGGGCUAACUACUGGAAACGGUAGCUAAUACCGCAUACCAUCAGAUGUGCCCAGAUGGGAUUAGCUAGUAGGUGGGGUAAUGGCUCACCUAGGCGACUAUACCUAGCUGGGCUGAGAGGAUGACCGGCAACACUGGCACUGAGACACGGCCAAGACCCCUACGUGAGGCAGAAGUGGGGAAUAGUGGACAAUGGGCGCAAGCCUGAUGCAGCAAUGCGGCGUGUGUGAAGAAGCCCUUCGGGUGGUAAAGCACUUUCAGCGAGGAGGCGGUACUCGCAGAAGAAGCACCGGCUAACUCCGUGCCAGCAGCCGCGGUAAUAC
rnacentral:rRNA from 1 species